rnacentral:lncRNA from 1 species
AGUAACUGGACAAGGCAGUGGUCCUGUCCCACAGUCUGCUCUCAGGCAGCCUCCUGGAAAUCAUUGGCCAGAUUUAACAAAUAAAAAAACCAAUUCCGGUUGAAUUUGAAUUUCAGAUUAAGCAAGGUGCAAAGGAGUAGAGGGCAGUGAGAUACAGUGGCUUGAGGGCGGACUGCAACAGAGGGGAGAUGAAAGGACGAAGAAGCAGAAGAGACCACUGAGAAGAGGUUGUCUAGGAUGUCUCUGGAGUUCAAUGAAUAUUUCACAAGCCCACAAGGAAUAUUUCACAAGGCAAAUAUUUCCCAG